GACGAACGCUGGCGGCGUGCCUAAUACAUGCAAGUCGAGCGGACUUUCAAGAAGCUUGCUUUUUGAAAGUUAGCGGCGGACGGGUGAGUAACACGUGGGCAACCUGCCUGUAAGACGGGGAUAACUCCGGGAAACCGGGGCUAAUACCGGAUAAUAUCUUUCUUCGCAUGAAGGAAGGUUGAAAGGCGGCGCAAGCUGCCGCUUGCAGAUGGGCCCGCGGCGCAUUAGCUAGUUGGUGAGGUAACGGCUCACCAAGGCGACGAUGCGUAGCCGACCUGGGGGGGUGAUCGGCCACAUGGGGACUGAGACACGGCCCAGACUCCUACGGGGGGCAGCAGUAUGGAAUCUUCCGCAAUGGACGAAAGUCUGACGGAGCAACGCCGCGUGAGCGAAGAAGGUCUUCGGAUCGUAAAGCUCUGUUGUCAGGGAAGAACAAGUACCGUUCGAAUAGGGCGGUACCUUGACGGUACCUGACCAGAAAGCCACGGCUAACUACGUGCCAGCCGCCGCCGUAA
rnacentral:rRNA from 1 species